AAGCGGAGGAAAAGAAACCAACAGGGAUUGCCCCAGUAGCGGCGAGUGAAGCGGCAAGAGCUCAGAUUUGAAAUCGUGUUUCGGCACGAGUUGUAGAGUGUAGGCGGGAGUCUCUGUGGAGCGCGGUGUCCAAGUCCCUUGGAACAGGGUGCCUGAGAGGGUGAGAGCCCCGUAGGGUGCUGCGCGAAGCUUUUGAGGCCCUGCUGACGAGUCGAGUUGUUUGGGAAUGCAGCUCCAAGCGGGUGGUAAAUUCCAUCUAAGGCUAAAUAUUGGCGAGAGACCGAUAGCGAACAAGUACUGUGAAGGAAAGAUGAAAAGCACUUUGAAAAGAGAGUGAAACAGCACGUGAAAUUGUUGAAAGGGAAGGGUAUUGGGCUCGACAUGGGGGGUGCGCACCGCUGUCUCUUGUAGGCGGCGCUCUGGGCGCCCUCUGGGCCAGCAUCGGUUCCUGCUGCGGGAGAAGGGGCUCCGGAAAGUGGCUCUUCGGAGUGUUAUAGCCGGGGCCAGAUGCCGCGUGUGGGGACCGAGGACUGCGGCUUCUGUCUCGGAUGCUGGCAUAACGGCGCAAUACCGCCCGUCUUG
rnacentral:rRNA from 3 species